GAUCCUGGCUCAGGAUGAACGCUAGCGGCAGGCUUAAUACAUGCAAGUCGUGGGGCAGCAUGAGUAGCAAUACUUGAUGGCGAACCGGCAAACGGGUGAGGAACACGUACACAACCUUCCUUCAAGCGGGGAAUAGCCCAGAGAAAUUUGGAUUAAUACCCAUAAUAUAUUGAUAAGGCAUCUUUUUAAUAUUAAAGCUUCGGCACUUGAUGAUGGGUGUGCGGCUGAUUAGAUAGUUGGCGGGUAACGGCCCACCAAGUCUACGAUCAGUAGCUGAUGUGAGAGCAUGAUCAGCCACACGGGCACUGAGACACGGGCCCGACCCCUACGGGAGGCAGCAGUAAGGAAUAUUGGACAAUGGACAAAAGUCUGAUCCAGCCAUGCCGCGUGAAGGAUUAAGGUCCUCUGGAUUGUAAACUUCUUUUAUAUGGGACGAAAAAAGGGCAUUCUUGUUCGCUUGACGGUACCAUAUGAAUAAGCACCGGCUAACUCCGUG
rnacentral:rRNA from 1 species